rnacentral:misc_RNA from 1 species
UUUCCGUAGGUGAACCUGCGGAAGGAUCAUUAUUGAAUAAACCUGAUGUGGUUGUAGCUGGCCCUUUCGGGAGCAUGUGCACACCCGUCGUCUUUAUCUUUCCACCUGUGCACCUUUUGUAGACCUGGAUGUAACACUUUCCGAGGCAACUCGGUCGGGAGGAAUGCUGUCAGCUUUCCUUGAAUGUCCAGGCCUAUGUUUUCAUAUACCCCAAAGAAUGUAACAGAAUGUAUUAUUGGGCCCUGUGCCUAUAAACUAUAUACAACUUUCAGCAACGGAUCUCUUGGCUCUC